CGCGUAGGCGGGAAGAAAAGUCAGAUGUGAAAUCCCGGGGCUCAACCCCGGAACAGCAUUUGAAACUCCCUUUCUUGAGGGUAGACGGAGAAAAUGGAAUUCCACAAGUAGCGGUGAAAUGCGUAGAUAUGUGGAAGAACACCAGUGGCGAAGGCGAUUUUCUAGUUUACACCUGACGCUGAGGCGCGAAAGCAAGGGGAUCAAACA
rnacentral:rRNA from 1 species